rnacentral:rRNA from 1 species
AUGCUACGAUCAUACCACUUAGAAAGCACCCGGUCCCAUCAGACCCCGGAAGUUAAGCUGAGUUGGGCUGGACUAGUACUGGAUUCAGGAAUGAUCUGGGAAUCCCCAGUGUCGUAGUGU